AGAGCAGGCCUAAAGAAAUUGACGGGGUGUGCCAGCAGCCGCACCGGUGAUUGUGCCAGCAGCCGCAUCUCAAAGAAAUUGACGGGAACUCAAACGGAUUGUCGGGAACUCAAAGAAAUUGACGGGACGUGUGCCAGCAGCCGCAUAGCAACUGUGCCAGCAGCCGCGUAACUCAAAGAAAUUGACGGGACGUGUGCCAGCAGCCGCAACUCAAAUAAAUUGACGGGAGUGUGCCAGCAGCCGCGGUAGUGAUGUGCCAGCAGCCGCAACUCAAAUAAAUUGACGGGAACUCAGUGAAAUUGACGGGAACUCAAAUAAAUUGACGGGA
rnacentral:rRNA from 1 species